rnacentral:rRNA from 1 species
CGGCGGACGGGUGAGUAAUGUAUGGGGAUCUGCCCGAUGGAGGGGGAUAACUACUGGAAACGGUAGCUAAUACCGCAUAACGUCGCAAGACCAAAGAGGGGACCUUCGGGCCUCUUGCCAUCGGAUGUGCCCAGAUGGGAUUAGCUAGUAGGUGGGGUAACGGCUCACCUAGGCGACGAUCCCUAGCUGGUCUGAGAGGAUGACCAGCCACACUGGAACUGAGACACGGUCCAG